GAUGGUAAGGGGUAGAGUCCUCCAAGAGGUGGAUCCUGACAUGAAGGCACUGAAAUGUAUUAUUACACAGGAGCAGAAGGCAGCAGAUGAUUCUGAUUAGUACAUGCAUGUGCUGAGAUGACACACAUCUCUGAUAGGUGCACAUCAGUGGUAUGGAAUAAGUUUUAAUUAUUCUAAAAGAAUCAGGCAUUUUAGAAAAUAGAAGAAGCUUACAUACAUUCAGCCAAAGGUACUAAACCACUUGUUAUAAUGAGAUAUCAGAGCUGGAUAGUCUCCAUCUUGAGUGUUGGGAGGAAAAAUGCACUGUGGAAAUGACAAAUUGGAAAUUACUAUGUAGGAAGUCGUGCCUGUUCCUUGUUCUCUGUCCCCUCUGGUCCCUGCUGACCUCCAUGAGUUCUGAGCAGAUUUAGAAACAUGCCUGUUUUUGCAGGCUUGGGACAACAGGUGACAGUCGGCAGCCAUCCCACUAGCACUGUAAAGGAAGGAGAAGGCCACCAGCCCUGACCACAGCAUCAGGCUUAGAGCUAGAAGGUGGUCUCUAAGGUCAGUGUUUGAAGAAGUAGACAAGCCACCUCUAUGUGCUACACAGUGGAACCUGCCCUGGUUAGUGAUCAAGGAUGAUGAGGGACCUAGCUCAUUCUUCCCUACUGGCAUCCCUUCAGAGAUUGGUUCAUCAUCUCUGAUCCUCAGCCAACCUAAUUUCCUCUCUCUCUCUCUGCUUCUUUUCACAGCGCUCAUGUAUCCCAAGUCAGCAGUGUU
rnacentral:lncRNA from 1 species